rnacentral:rRNA from 1 species
AGCGAACGCUAGCGGCGGGCCUAACACAUGCAAGUCGAGCGGGGGAGCAAUCCCCAGCGGCGGACGGGUGAGUAACACGUAGGUUAUGUGCCCUUUGGUGGGGAAUAACCGUGGGAAACCAUGGCUAAUUCCGCAUAUCGAGCGAAAUCUUGAAAGCCUUCGGGCGCCAAAGGAGCAACCUGCGGCCCAUUAGCUUGUUGGUAGGGUAACGGCCUACCAAGGCGAUGAUGGGUAGCUGGUCUGAGAGGAUGAUCAGCCACACUGGAACUGAGACACGGUCCAGACUCCUACGGGAGGCAGCAGUGGGGAAUAUUGCGCAAUGGGCGAAAGCCUGACGCAGCCACGCCGCGUGAGUGAUGAAGGGCCUUCGGGUCGUAAAACUCUGUCGGGAGGGACGAAGGGGCGAACCCUGACGGUACCUCGCAGAAAGCACCGGCUAACUCUGUGCCAGCAGCCGC